rnacentral:tRNA from 1 species
AGCCCCAUAGUGUAGUGGUCAAUCAGAGAUUUUUUGCUUCGCACAAAAGUUCGCAAAAACGAUAAACUCUGGACAAUUCAUCUCCGGUUCUGGGCCGGGGGACCUAGGUUCGAAUCCUGGUGGGGCUA